AAAAUGGACUCCAGAAAAAGAAAGCAGAGGCAAGAGGAGUCAGAUUCUGAUUCAGAAUCUGAAUCUGAACCAAGUGAUGAGAGUGAAGAAUCAUCACCUGCGGAGAAGGAGAAGAAAAAGAAAAAAACAAAAAUAACACCAAAAGAAACACAACAAGAAAAGAAAAAAGUUGUUGUGGAGGAUUCACCUCCUGAAGAAGAUCAAUACUUUGACGGUGAGAGAUAUGAAAUAUCAAGUGACGAAAUCGAUGAAUGGCUAAGGGGAAACGUUGAUAAAUCUGCUGCGGAGGGGGAGAACCUAGCUGACCUGCGAUCGACAGAAGGUCGCUAUGUGUCCUCUGAAA